AACGAACGCUGGCAGCAUGCCUAACACAUGCAAGUCGAACGAGACCUUCGGGUCUAGUGGCGCACGGGUGCGUAACGCGUGGGAACCUGCCCUUAGGUUCGGAAUAACUCCCCGAAAGGGGUGCUAAUACCGGAUAAUGUCUUCGGACCAAAGAUUUAUCGCCUUUGGAUGGGCCCGCGUUGGAUUAGCUAGUUGGUAGGGUAAAAGCCUACCAAGGCGACGAUCCAUAGCUGGUCUGAGAGGAUGAUCAGCCACACUGGUACUGAGACACGGCCCAGACUCCUACGGGAGGCAGCAGUGGGGAAUAUUGGACAAUGGGCGAAAGCAUGAUCCAGCAAUGCCGCGUGAGUGAUGAAGGCCUGAGGGUUGUAAAGCUCUUUUACACGGGAUGAUAAUGACAGUACCGGGAGAAUAAGCUCCGGCUAACUCCGUG
rnacentral:rRNA from 1 species